rnacentral:rRNA from 1 species
AUUGAACGCUGGCGGCAGGCUUAACACAUGCAAGUCGAGCGGGGAAAAGUAGCUUGCUACUGGACCUAGCGGCGGACGGGUGAGUAAUGCUUAGGAAUCUGCCUAUUAGUGGGGGACAACAUCUCGAAAGGGAUGCUAAUACCGCAUACGUCCUACGGGAGAAAGCAGGGGACCUUCGGGCCUUGCGCUAAUAGAUGAGCCUAAGUCGGAUUAGCUAGUUGGUGGGGUAAAGGCCUACCAAGGCGACGAUCUGGAGCGGGUCUGAGAGGAUGGACCGCCACACUGGGACUGAGACACGGCCCAGACUCCUACGGGAGGCAGCAGUGGGGAAUAUUGGACAAUGGGGGGAACCCUGAUCCAGCCAUGCCGCGUGUGUGAAGAAGGCCUUUUGGUUGUAAAGCACUUUAAGCGAGGAGGAGGCUACCGAGAUUAAUACUCUUGGAUAGUGGACGUUACUCGCAGAAUAAGCACCGGCUAACUCUGUGCCAGCCGCCGCCGUAACAC